rnacentral:rRNA from 1 species
UUGGGGAGAAGCAUGAGCGAGAGCACAUGUGGACAGUACACGAGUGAGAAUGCCGGAAUGAGUAGCGAGAAUUAUGUGGGAAUCAUAAUGGCCGAAAAUCUAAGGUUUCUUGGGGAAGGUUCGUCCGCCCAAGGUAAGCCGGGAGCUAAGGCGAGGCCGAAAGGCGUAGUCGAUGCACAUACGGUUGAAAUUCCGUAGCCGCCGAAAUUGUUAAGCACAGGGACACAUAGAGAUAUCCGAACCCGGGCGUUGGUUGACCCGGGCGCAAGGGACCGAACAUCAGUAGGGAAGUCGGAGAUGCUCUGUGGCGAGAAAAGCUGUGUGUAUUGAUUAGGCGCCCUGUACCGCAAACCGACACAGGUAGAUGAGGAGAGAAUCCUAAGGCCAACGGGAGAAGGGUUGUUAAGGAACUCGGCAAAUUGACCCCGUAACUUCGGGAUAAGGGGAGCCUCCUACGGGAGGCCGCAGUGAAUAGGCCCAAGCAACUGUUUACCAAAAACACAGGUCUCUGCUAAAUCGAAAGAUGACGUAUAGGGGCUGACGCCUGCCCGGUGCCGGAAGGUUAAGAGGAGAGCUUAGCGCAAGCGAAGGUUCGAAUUGAAGCCCCGGUAAACGGCGGCCGUAACAAUAACGGUCCUAAGGUAGCGAAAUUCCUUGUCAGGUAAGUUCUGACCCGCACGAAUGGCGUAAUGAUUUGGGCACUGUCUCAACAGCCCGCCCGGCGAAAUUGUAGUACUGGUGAAGAUGCCAGUUACCCGCAACUAGACGGAAAGACCCCAUGGAGCUUUACUGUAGCCUAAUACUGAAGAUCGGUAAUGCAUGUACAGGAUAGGUGGGAGCCAGCGAAACCCGGGCGUCAGCUCGGAUGGAGGCAACCUUGGAAUACCACCCUUGUAUUGCUGGUUUUCUAACCUGCGGCCAUGAAUCUGGUCGGGGGACACUGUUAGGUGGGCAGUUUGACUGGGGCGGUCGCCUCCAAAAGCGUAACGGAGGCGCUCAAAGGUUGGCUCAGCACGGACGGAAAUCGUGCAUAGAGUGCAAACGCAUAAGCCAACUUGACUGCGAGACCGACGGGUCGAGCAGGUACGAAAGUAGGAGUUAGUGAUCCGGUGGUAUGUGAGUGGAAAUGCCAUCGCUCAACGGAUAAAAGCUACCCUGGGGAUAACAGGCUGAUCUCCCCCAAGCGUCCACAGCGACGGGGAGGUUUGGCACCUCGAUGUCGGCUCGUCACAUCCUGGGGCUGUAUUCGGUCCCAAGGGUUCGGCUGUUCGCCGAUUAAAGUGGCACGCGAGCUGGGUUCAGAACGUCGUGAGACAGUUCGGUCCCUAUCUGUUGCGGGCGCAGGAGAUUUGAAGGGAGCUGUCCUUAGUACGAGAGGACCGGGAUGGACAGACCUCUGGUGCACCAGUUGUCGUGCCAACGGCACAGCUGGGUAGCUACGUCUGGACGAGAUAAACGCUGAAAGCAUCUAUGUGUGAAACUCCCCCUAAGAUAAGAUCUCCCAUCCAUUAGGAGUAAGGGACGACAGAGACUAUGUCGUUGAUAGGUCGGAAGUGUAAGUGCAGUAAUGCAUUGAGCUGACCGAUACUAAUAACCCGAGGGCUUGACC